GGAUGAUCAACUGCAAUGGACUUGAGAGCUGGAGCUUUGCGGCGCAAUAGAACAUCUCAACCAAACUCAAUGCCAUGGAAGUGGCUGAGCUCGACGGAGCUUCGGCGGCUGAGCGACUUGAUGGGUGGAGAUCGCUAUAUGAAGGAGAGC